rnacentral:lncRNA from 1 species
CUGGGCAUAAGGUCUGUGUUGUUUGAUAUUUCCCUGCCUCUUUCUACCUCUCAGAGCAGUGGACUGGCUGAGGAACAGGUGGUAGGGAGAUAAAUCAUUCUUUCCAAAUACAAGCCAGAUGGUCCCAGUCCCUAACACGUGCAUGGCUUGACUCUUUUUGAUUCCUGACCCAUUUUGACAUAACAUUCUACUUGUUUGUCAGGUUCUGCUUGAAAUAGAAUCAUCAUGGGGCCAUACUGAAUUGUGCAUAGCAGAUCACGCAGGUGCUGUGAACCUGGUGGGAAAGAAGAGAUGUGGACAGCAGUUGUCACAGCGCAGUACAUUCUGCGCCAUCGUCCUAAAGGUCUUCCUCUGGUAAAUUGAAAACGGUACCUCCCCUCUGUGAAUCUACCAC